rnacentral:lncRNA from 1 species
UUAGGUUUUCUGGUGCAAACGUGUAACAACUCUGCGUGUUUCAAAAGAGGAAAAGAGCUGCCAAUGCAAUUUUGAGCAAAAUCUGUUUCUUUGCCCUUGGAAUAACAAUAAAAUGGCUGAUGUUUAUAAACUAUUCCUUGGAAAAUUCUGUUGUGUUAGAGAUUAAAUUGCAAACUGUGUGAGUAAUAUUUUGUGAAUACCAAAUACCCCUGUGGGCUACUUAAGGAAAGCUAGUCAGCAAUUCAAGAAAUGCAUUAUUUUGACAUAGAAGAUCCAUUGGUAGGAAUGCCAAAGAGGUAAAUACCUACCAAAUGCAUUUGUUUCAUCAUAUAGCUAUGGAAUUUCUCUUGAUUAAAAUGGAAGGGUUAAAUCACUAGCCUUGAAAAGUGAUUAGAAUGUAGAAUGAAGAAGAAUUUAGGUAGAAAAUUAUGAAAAGAUGUUAUUUCAAUUAUCUCUUCUGAAAUCUUUGUACAUUUCCCUAUUUAAUAUUUUCCAGUUUUCAAAGCUACUUUUUUUCCUGGAAUGAGUUGACUUGACUGCAUACCUCUGAUGAACCUAUAUAGCUCCCACUGAUAUAAUAGAAAGUCACAAACAUCCAAGUCCACAUUCAUCAUUUAGACUGUCCUCUUCAUUUCCUCAUUUCAUUUAUGUGGCACUCUUACCACCUGGAUUUUGUAUGGUUACAGAGUGUAUAGAAGUACCUGGAUUAUUAAAGAUUUCCACAUGCCAAAGACCUUACUGAUGAUAAUAACAACUGAACUCCUGGGCACAUUUGAAUCUGUAACGUGGAGCUGGGGACUGGAGACUCAGGAAGCCACACAGAGCAGAGCAGGACAGAGCGGAACAAGCAAAUGAACCAAAUAGGCAGCUCCAGUCUUGCAAAGGAAAGCUGCAACUUCACAGGCAAUUUAGCUAGUACAAUUUAUUUUAAUUUAUUACAGUAAACUACAUAUUAGCAAACAUUAACAAAUCAGGGGCAGAUUUAUGGCAGAGAAGGCUACUGUGCUAAUGAGUGGCCCCUUCAUUAGCAUUGCCUGGAGCAGCAUAUGCUCUCUCUCAGCCUAUCCUUACCACAUUUUCCCAUUACCGUAACAGCAGAAACAAACCUUUCAUAUCCUGUAAUCUCUGACCAGGAGGAACCUUGUUUGGGAGCUGACGAUUUAAGCUGAAAGACAGUUAUUUGUAUGAACUACAACUCCAGCUGGUUUUAUGUGGACAGGCAUGGGAGUUACGGGGUACUGGGCGCCUCUCAAAAUACUGGUCCCAUUUGUGAUGCUUGCUUCAGUGGAUGUACCUUUUUUGUGC